rnacentral:rRNA from 1 species
GACGAACGCUGGCGGCGUGCUUAACACAUGCAAGUCGAACGGAAAGGCCCUGCUUUUGUGGGGUGCUCGAGUGGCGAACGGGUGAGUAACACGUGUGUAACCUGCCCUUGACUUUGGGAUAACUUCAGGAAACUGGGGCUAAUACCGGAUAGGAGCUCCUGCUGCAUGGUGGGGGUUGGAAAGUUUAGGCGGUUGGGGAUGGACUCGCGGCUUAUCAGCUUGUUGGGGGGGUAGUGGCUUACCAAGGCCUUCACACGUAGCCGGCCUGAGAGGGUGACCGGCCACAUUGGGACUGGGAUGCGGCCCAGACUCCUACGGGAGGCAGCAGUGGAGAAUAGUGCACAAUGGGCGGAAGCCUGAUGCAGCAACGCCGCGUGCGGGAUGACGGCCUUCGGGUUGUAUACCGCUUUCGCCUGUGACGAAGCGUGAGUGACGGUAAUGGGUAAAGAAGCACCGGCUAACUACGUG